ensembl:processed_transcript Gm15983 predicted gene 15983
GCCAAGGACUGAAGAAAUCCAAUGCCUUGGCCUGCUGGGAAGCUCGCAGCCAAAAAUGUCCUAAGAACUCCCGGAGGGCCAAGGGCCCUACACUCAAGAAACCUGCAAUUACUGGUCUUGUCUGCCUACAGCCGACACAGAAAAACACAGUCAGCAGAGAUCAGCACUCCCAGAACUUUUUGUCUAUCUAUGAUUUCUAGCUGGGCAAAGGAAAAGAAGUCCAGCUGUUUAGUAGCAAGAGGCUGCUAUCAUUGUAUCCUUUACUGUAUUAAUUAGAAAUGAUGGCACAGAGAUGUAGCCUCUUGUAAAGUCCCACAGCACACAGGGGGUUGAAUUAGAACUAUAAGCAGGAAGCUGGCCUCCCCGGCCAGAGCUCUGAUUCUUUCCUUCUUAAACUCCUGGUCAAAUGGAGUGACCACAGACGCCAGUGCUGUGCACUGUGGGUGACCCUGAGCAAGUACUUAGCACAGCACAUGAACUAUUAUUACAGUUGACAUUGAAUAAGGACUUAUAUGUUAUUCGGGUUUCGUUUUGCGUUAAGACCAGAGAUAUUUUAUGUCGAUGAAAUAAUACAACUACCCAAACCACCCAACGAAACCGGGUAGACUCUGGAGGAAUACAAAUCUAUAGUAACUCAUGCCGGUGAGCUCACCACACAAGAGUUAACAGCGAGGCACGCUCUAAAGGAUCCUCGCGUCCGAGCUGCAGGUCCCCAGGCCACAGGGAAGUACCCUUUUCAGUCCGAACUCCCUCUGAGACGGUUCUGCCUGAAGCCUGCCCUUCGGAUGGGGACCUGGCCUCCUUUUCAGGAGAGCGCGUCUCUUGCCAUUUGAAGACGUUUAGUUUUUCAAAGUUGUUUUGCAGUCGCCAAGAUGACCGAUUACUGGCUUAAAAGUUGCUAAAAUAAUCCAGCCCGGUUCGUGACCCUGUAAACCCUGCCGGGGAAGGGCCCGCCUGCCUCCCCCAGUCCAGCGGUGAGCAAAGGCGGCCCGAGACUCCCGGCCCCGCCGCCCGUGGUGCUCGACCCUGAUACCCGCCGCACGCCCGCCGCCCACCUGCCAGGGAAAGGAGGGCAGCGCGCGAGCCGCCAGGAAGCGGCGCUCGAAACUCUGCAGCAGAGACGUGGCCCCCUCGUGGUCCUCAGGCGCCAUCGCGGGGCAGGGCCAGGGUUGCCUGGAAACGGGCGGAAGCGAGGCCUGAGACGGAGGAGGCGUGGCAACUAGGAGGUGCCCUAGCUAUGCUGGACAAAAGGAUUCUCCAUCGAUCGGUGCAGCCCCUGAAGAUGCGGCUUCAGCCAGGACUGUUUGCACCACACACACAGAGGCCAAGUGCAGAUGACCCCAAGGCCAGUUCUUCCUGGGCCAGAGAGUCAACUCCUCACUCCCAAGCUCGGGGGCAGUGACAAUGGUUACAGUCAGAGGCUGAGGAAUUCUGACACCUGGGUUCUCAGAUGCUGCCAGAGGCUGUGGAAUUUUGACUUCUCAGACAUAAGACCUUCUACUCAAGGUCAAGAGCCACAGGUCUGACACUGCAGGUCUGCAUAGCAGCUGGAAGACCUGUAGAGUGAAGAGUCCUGGGCUUGGGAGAUGGCUCGGUGGGUAAAGGUCUUACCAUGGAAACAUGAGGACCCCAGGAAUGCUGGGCAUAACAGCGAUUUCUGUAAUUCCAUCACUCCUGUGUUGAGAUGGAUGGUAGAGACAGGAGAAUUCUUUGAAGCCCAUGGGCUGGCUGGCUUCAUAUAUGCAGCACUGAAUAUGAGGGACUUUGCCUUGAACAUGGUGGGAGGUGAGGACUGAGAGCUAACAUUGUCCUUUGACAUCUACAUCAGUGACAAGACACAACAGCACACGAUAAAAAAACAAAACAGAUGGAUCUGGAGAGAUGGCUCAGUGGUUAGAAGCACCACUGACCUUGCAGGAGACUCAAGUUUGGCUCCCAGCUCACAAAUGCCUGUAACUCCAGGGGCUCAGAUGCCCUCUUCUUGUUAUUAGACGCGUUCUCACGACCGGCCAGGAAAGACGCAACAAACCAGAAUCUUCUGCGGCAAAGCUUUAUUGCUNNNNNNNNNNNNNNNNNNNNNNNNNNNNNNNNNNNNNNNNNNNNNNNNNNNNNNNNNNNNNNNNNNNUGGUGGGAAAACUGCCCCUGCAUGUGUGCAGACUAUGUUUACCACUUAGAACACAGCUGUCAGUGCCAUCUUAUAAUGGCAAAUGUGAGGGCGGCUCCUCACAUCUUCUGGUUCUCUGGACACCUGCAAUGUGCCCCUAGUGCAUGUGUGCGUGCACACACACACACACACACACACACACACACACACACACCAGUUAGUUUUAAAAUGCCUCAGCUAGCUCAAAGUCUGGGCAGUUCUAAUCCUCCCCUUGGCUAGUACACAUUUUCCUCCUAUAAUUCUGGCUUAACGCCCUCUAGUUCUAUAUUUUAUUUUUGUUGCCCUGGUUCCUUCUGGGUGGCUCCCUAGUCUUUGCUGCACAAGAUGCUUCUGGAUAGCCUUUCCAGGGGCCCAUAUUCCUUCUCACCUACAUUUCGGAUAGUUUUUCCUUCUGCAGCUCUAUAUCCGAUCCAUCUCCCUCUGAAUUAUGGCAAUUCUCUGUUUUCCCUUCUCUCAGUUGCUAGCCCAUGCAAAUCUAAAGGUCCUGCUUCAGUCUGCCUUCCCAACCACUGGUCAUUGUCUCUUUAUUGACCAAUCAAAAGCCAGUUGGGGACAAGAACCUUCAGCAUUUGGACAUGCAGAUUCCCAAUUUUGAGGGCUGGAUUAAUUGGAAGCCUUGGAACCAAUCCCCAGCAUCAUCUUUUCUGUCCAAAUUUUAAAAAAGGCUCUUCUGUCAGACAUAAAUUGAGCAUAACCAUAACAGUUAUGUAAAUUACAAAGUACGAUAUGCAAUUAACAUCCAGUCUGUCAUAUUUGGCAAUUUAGAUAAAGUAUUCUAUUAUCUAUCUUAGCUUAAUGAGUUACAAUUCUGUACCUAAAUCAUGUUUGAUUUCAACUUGUAUUACCAUCUGAAAACCGUCUUUUGAAUCUAGAACACCUUUAAUGCUAAACAGCUUACGUUCAAUUGUGAGGUUAUAAUUAGUCUUCAACCUCGUCAGUCAGAGAUUUGAUAAGGAAUUAAAUAUUACCUGAGUAUGUAGGAAGAACACAGACGCAGCUUCCAAAACCUUUUCUUCCCUGUUCAAAACGAUACCAUCUCCAAGUUAUCCCUUAAAAUGACAGCCCAUCUAUAAUUUGUAAAAUAAUCAUAACCAGACACUCAAACGCAAGGAAUCAGACUGAUGACGCCCAUGGCUUCCUCCUGCCGGAUAGGGAUGAUAAGAAAUUCUUUAAAGGGGUGGGGAGGGGAAGGAAGAUUAGAAAAAGUGCUAGGCUUAAGACAGGUAGAUUUAGCAUCUGUUACCCAUUUUCUGUUCAGGGCUGAACUGAGGUUCUGACUGGGUCCGUCUGAAAGGCUGGAUGAACCAAAUCCACAGGGAAUCAGUGGCAUCCCUGAGGCUGUUCUAGAAGUGAGGCUCUGGAAGCACCAGGAAGCAGGGGGCCGGAGCGGCAGGUCAGCUCAGUGUCCCAGCAGAUGAAUCAGGGUCGUACAAUCUGCAACGUAUGAAUCACAAGCAGAAUUUCUGUACUAUUAAGAUAUUCGUAUCCAUUGUGCAGGGUGCACAGAUCAGUUAAGGAUGAAAUCUGUUCCUUGUUUGAGCAGGUAAAAGACAAUUGUCUUUUUUAUGAAUUAUUUUUAACAAUAACCAAUUGUGUGAUAAAUCUCCAUUCAUGAUAUAUGAAGGAGGGCAUGAAAAAUCUUAAGGAUUCCAUAACCAACAAGAUUUACUGUCUAAUUUUAGCUGAAGUUUUAGUUAGAGACAUUUUUAUGUCUAAGUCAGUUACUGGACUCUUCCCAUGUUGAGGAAUCAGCAGAUCAAGUUGCCUGUCCUGUUCAAUUUUCUCGAAUUUUUCUUUGCUGUAGUCAAGAUCCUCAGAGGGUCUCUCCUGUCCUACCUGAUCCAUAUCACUGUGGAAGGGGUCCAAAGCCUCUUCCCUUUUCCCGUCAGCACAAAUGCAGAGCUUUCUCCCAGGAACUGGAAAGCGUUAAAGGUACAGCUUGACCUCUCUCGCAGAGGAGCUAUAACUGCCACACUCAUAGCCACACGAAUUUUGAUAAUUAAAGCAAUUCAAAGCAGUUAAAGCAAUCUAAACAAACAUUAACCAUUGAGACAGUGCUUCUUCACCAUCUCCUGCUUUUUGACCUAUACUUUAAGAUCAAUAUUUUACACAUCUAUGUAUAGUCAAAUCAUGCCUACUAUGGAGAGGAGCUCUGUGAGUACUUAUGAUAGUAUGUCACUUUCUCUUUAUGUAAUUCUCAAGGCCUAAGUUUCUAUUCUCUGAGAUAGGUUAGACUCCCUAUCCCUUGCUUUUUAAUCUAAUUUUUAAGGAUAGGAAACCUCAGUAUUGUCUAUGUCUACUUACUGUAUAAGUCUAUUUUCAGGCUCAAUUUUGUCAUACCAGGCUAAACAAUCACAGAAAUCUCAUGUGGACUAUGUUCAAAGAUUUUGAGAAUUUGCCCUGGCAAGACUUUUAAAUUUCUCUAAAGAAAUUUUUUUUUUUCAUUCAGUCUCCCUAACUUCUUUCCUCUGUAUACUUAAGAACAUUUAAGCAAUUACCAUUAUACUCUCUUCUAUCCUUAAAAGGAAUUAAAUACAAAUUUAUAAAAAUUUAUUUAUCUGG